CAGACUUGGACCUUGCUCCUCAUCCGCACAGAAGCCGCUGCCCAAGAUUCAUCGUUGCCACCACUCUGAAAGGCACCUUUUCCACGCAGUGCUGCCAUCGUUGCUGGGAAGUGAGGAGCUCAGGGCAGCUGCUGCGUGUGGAGCACCGGCCUCAUUGCCCUGCUCUCUGCCGGGUCCUGCCGCUGCCUCCGCUUGGUGCUGCUCAUACGGGCGAAGGAGAAGAACGUGCUGACUGUGAGGGCAGAGUUGCCAUCAACUGAAAAUAAGAAGAGGUAUUUGUCCUGAAGACCUGAUGGGCAGGAAGACAUAAGGUGCCCUGAGAGCGUCCUUGUAAGAAUGCUUGCAUGACACAGAGCUUUAUCUUUAAUAACUUUGGCAUAAUUUUUAGAAAUCUGAAUUAUGCAAAUAAAAAAUCAAGAAGAAAAACAUAAUGACCACUUUAUUAGAAAAUAUUUUUGGAAGUAAUAACUGUGGGGAUGAAGGAGUUAGUGUUUGUGUCUGAUGUGUUUUAUAGCUGUGUUCUCUCUCUUGGACACAGUUGCAGAGAAGAAGGAGGGAGACAGCUCCACUGGGAUUUAGGAUGGUGCCCACAGCAGUCAUCACCUCCUGUCCUCAUCGUUACUGUUCAUUGUCGUUCCUCAUUUAUUGCCAUGCCUGCUCAGCAUUUCCUUCUGUUGACCUACACAAGCCAGGAGGGGGGAGCAUUACACAGGACACAGAGUUGCCUCCAGAUCUUGUUAAAGCUUCUCUCUGCUUUCACACUGAGCAAAAAACCUCAGGAGAGGAAAAGGGCAGCACUUUUGGAUUUUGUGCUAUAUACAGAUUUAUCAUGAUAUACAGCAAAUGGACUGAACCAAAUGACUUAGUGGCCAAUAUAAUCACAUCACAAAGGUAACAAGCUUCUGGCACCUGUCCAAGCUUCUUCUAACAGAAGUUGAAUGUAGCUUUCAGAAUAUAAAAUUUCU